rnacentral:tRNA from 1 species
GUCGCCGGGAGCGCCGGGGUCGCCCUGGGCGCGGCGUUGCAGACACCGCCGGUGGCCGGGGACGCGGGCGCCCGGCCGUCCGAGACGGCCCGGCGGCCC